rnacentral:rRNA from 1 species
GGACGAACGCUGGCGGCGUGCUUAACACAUGCAAGUCGAGCGGUAAGGCCCUUUCGGGGGUACGACGAGCGGCGAACGGGUGAGUAACACGUGGGUGACCUGCCCUCAGCUCUGGGAUAAGCCUGGGAAACCGGGUCUAAUACCGGAUAUGACUCCAUGACGCAUGUUGUGGGGUGGAAAGCCUUGUGCGGCUGAGGAUGGGCCCGCGGCCUAUCAGCUUGUUAGUGGGGUGGAUGGCCUACCAAGGCGACGACGGGUAGCCGGCCUGAGAGGGCGACCGGCCACACUGGGACUGAGACACGGCCCAGACUCCUACGGGAGGCAGCAGUGGGGAAUCUUGCGCAAUGGGCGAAAGCCUGACGCAGCGACGCCGCGUGAGGGAUGACGGCCU